UUUGGGUUGCAUGGCACCAUGCAAUUGGAUAGACUAAAUGAGAGAAAUAACACUUGGAGAUUAUUAAUAUAUUAUAAGUUCUAAUAUAUUAAUAAUAUUAUUUGAUUAGUUGAUCAAAGAAUUAAUUUGGAAUUAAUUAAGUGAUCAAAGGAUAACUAAUUAAAUAUAUGGGUUGAUUAUGUAAAUCAUCCAUAUCUUGUAUAGUGGGCUAAGAGGCUCCAUGGAUUAUCAAGUUGGGUUCUACCCAUAGGAUGCUCCAUGGAUGCUCCAUGGGAGUUACAAACCCAUGGGUCAUGGAAAUGAAGAGUCAUGACACAUUAGGGUUUACAUGGUGUAACCCUAGAUGUGUCAACACUAUAUAAGAAUCAUAUUCUCCACCAAAAUCGGCUACACUAAGAAACUAGAGGGCUUGGCCGAUUUUGAGAAGUGUGUGUUAUCUCAAGAGUCUUUCCAAGAGCAUUUGGUGUUGUGUGAAGCAUUUGAGGCAUCACACUUGGGGUGCUAGGCUCACAAGGUUUCAAGGAACACAAGCAACAACAAGGUAAGUUAUUCUAUCUAUGAUUCAAGUUAAAAUUGUUCCCCAUGUAUGCUAGAUAGGAAUAUAACCUUGGAAUUCAACUUUGCAUGAUAAUUAGACAAACAUAGAUCCAAGGUUAUUAGGGUUGCAUGUACACUUAGGAAGUGUUAGAAUGCUCAAAACCCAUCAGUGGUAUCAGAGCCUAGGCUUGUUUGUUUGUUAUUUGUGCUUAAAAGUUGAAGAAAGUCGAAAAUCUUGCUGUCUGACUGAUGGACUCGGCGAGUCCAUGGGGAGGACUCGUCGAGUUCAUGUGUAUCUUCAACCUACUCGGCGAGUAGGUUUAUGCACUCGGCGAGUAGGGUCGACAGAGUGCAGAAUUUCGACUUGAGUUGCUGGAAAUGGAUUAGAAUCAUUACCCUAAAAUGUUUUGGUACUUGAAAACUUAUUUUAGAAGGUGUAAUGUCUUUUCUAACUCAUUUACAACAACUAGUUAUCAAAAUUACAAAGAUUAAAUGUGAUUUUGAUUCUUGAAAGUGUUCAUAUUCAUAUUCUUGUUCUUAUGAUGUUUAGAUGAUCAUAGGAAUUAUUUGUAACCUAUGUGGUAGAUUAAUUCAUGAUCAUAAUGUGUUUUAAUGGAGUCCAUAACUUGUCCUCAAGUUAUGGAAAACCAAAAGUCUCUUGGAUUAAAAACCAUUAAAAGAACACAAGAGUUAGGAAAAAUGAAAAGUCCUCAUUUUAUUACUCUAUUAAACUCAUAAGUUACAAGAAAUGAAAAGUUUUGAAAGUUUACAAAACUUGCCCUCAAGUUUUGGAACAAGUAAAGUUAAGUUAAAACUUUAGUUCCAACCCCUAGAAUUUUAAAAGUUAAAAUUCAACCCUUAUACUUAUAUUAUUAUGAUUUAAUAAUUAUAUAUAUAUGUAUAAGAACAAAGUCGUCUUACCGCUAGUACGCCUCAUUCACGAAGCCGGUCUAUAAGGUGGGUAUAAGGUUGUUGCCUAUAAAAUGGUGACUUAAUGGGUGUCCACUCUCACCCACCGCUUGCUUGAUCGGUGGAGGGUCGUUAGCCGAACGGGUAAGACAAGGACUUAUUAAUUCUCAUUCAAAGUAUGAUGAAUAUUAUAAAGUAACUAAAUGUUUUAUUAAAUUCCCAAUCUUAGUUACUUUAGGAAAAAUGUGAAUAAGGUGCUAUUCCAUGAAAUUACACUUUACACUUUGAUUAAGUCGUUGGUGGAGCGUGUGUGGUUAACCGGCACACUAACUUGGACUUAACAAGGUAGGUAAAGGGUGACUUAGGGUUUAUUAUAGUAUCGAUGGAGCGUGUGUGGUUAACCGGCACAUCGAUUGAGUGAUAAACUUUAAGGGUACCAAGUGAUUUGCAUGGUUACUUCACACCUCGUUUUGUGAUCCUCGGUAUCCCAGUCACAAAACUUGGAGGGCACACUCGAGAUUGAAACAUGCCUUUGAAAAGUUCAUUGAAUCUCAAAGAAUCUAGGAAUUUCUAAGAACCAUUCAAAAACCUAAUACUAAAAUAUUGCGGUUUUCGUGGUGGAAAUUGGUGAAUCGUCAUUCACCUACCUUUCAAAUAUGAUAUAGCUUAGAUUACGGCAUACCUCUUCUAAGUUAUAUUAUAUUGUGAUUGGAUCCUAGCCUUAAUAUUACAUUUGGGUGUUUUAUUAAGGACUCUCUUAUAUCUAAACUAAUCUUGUCCUCUUUCCUUCAGAUGUCUUUCAACAAUGCUUCUGGCUCUAAUCCUAAUGGCUCCUUUACCCUUAUGAACUUGUGUGGGAAAGUCACCUUUGAUGGAUCCAACUUCAAUGAGUGGAUCAGAAACAUCAGGAUGAUUACCCGCUACGAGGACAAAGAAUAUGUCCUUGACAAGGAGCUUAAGGAGAUUGAUGAGUCCACUGCAACUCCUCAGGAGAUCGCUGAAUUUCGGGCACAUGAAAGGGAUGCUACGAAAGUGGCUUGCAUCAUGAUGGCCACGAUGACAGCGGAACUCCAAAAGUCUUAUGAGGAUUUCUACCCUUAUGAAAUGCACCAAGAUUUGAUGGAAAGAUACCAUCAAAGUGCAAGACAAGAGAGGUAUGAAAUCAUCUGCUCCAUGAUAACAACCAUGAUGAAGGACGGGGAAUCCGUCACGAGCCACAUGCAGAAAAUGCAAAGGUAUGUGGAUCGUUUGCUGAAGCUUAAUGUGAACUUCCCGGAGGAUCUUGCAAUAGAUAUUAUUUUGCAUUCCUUACCAUCGUGCUAUGAUCAAUUCCGCAUGACAUAUCACAUGAACAAGGAAGAAGUCACCCUCAGCAAACUUCAGGGACUUCUCAAGACCGCAGAAUCAGGUCUUAAGGGGAAGUCGGUUGCUAUCACUCCUACUCAAAACUCUACUCCGGUUUUGGCAAUCGGGAAAAGUCGAGGGAGGAAGAGAAAGAGCUCUUCUAAGGGUACCAAGGUUCGGACCCUUGAUGGCUCUUCUUCAAGUGGAACCAAGAAAGGUUUCAUUACUCCUUCUUCUGACCCAAAAGAGGCUGAAUGCUUCUAUUGCCAUGAAAAAGCUCAUUGGAAGCGGAACUGCCCAAAAUACCAGCAAGAUGUGAAGGAUGGGAAAGUUAAACCCAACCAUGCAGGUAUUUACACUAUCAUUUCUAAUAACUCACCCCAUUCUAAUUCUUGGGUCCUUGAUACCGGGUGUGGUAUUCACAUUUGUUGUGACUUGCAGGGACUAAGAAGAAGUGAGGAUGUGGAGCAAGGAAGGAUAAACUUGAUCAUGGGGAAUAGGAAAGCUAUACCUGUUACCAAGAUUGGAGUUUAUACUUUAUCGCUAAGUAGUGGGUUUAGUUUAGAUUUGAAUAAGUGUUGUUAUUCGCCAGGAAUGGCAAGAAAUAUUAUUUCCUUUCAUGCUUUGUACAAACAAGGGUUUACCUUUUCAUUUAAUAAUGAAGUUGGUUCUAUAGAUGUUUUCUAUAAUAAUGUCUUUUAUUUUAAAGCAUUACCUUGUGAUGGUGUGUAUGAAGCUGUAUCUGUUGUAGAUAACUUGGGAAAUAAUGUUUUGUGUAUUGAUUCUACUAAUAAUAACUUGGAUAAAGCAUCUUUAUGGCAUUGUCGUCUUGGACAUAUAAGCAAGAAACGCAUAGGCCAACUCCAAAAGGAUGGAGUCUUGGAGUCGUUUGACCUAAAGUCAGAUGAUAGUUGCGAAUCAUGCUUACUUGGAAAAAUGACAAAGUCACCCUUCACAGGUUCGUGUGAGAGGGGUGAAGGUUUGUUGGACCUUAUACACACGGAUGUGUGUGGACCAUUCAAACAUGCCACAAGGGAUGCUAAUCGUUAUUAUUUGACUUUUACUGAUGAUUAUAGUAGAUAUGGAUAUGUCUACUUGAUCAAGCAUAAGUCAGAGACUUUCGAGAGGUUUAAGGAAUUUAAACAGGAAGUCGAGAAUCAAUUGGGCAGGAACAUUAAGAUGCUUCGAUCCGAUCGUGGUGGUGAGUAUCUUAGUUCAGAGUUCCUCGACUAUCUAAGGGAAUGUGGGAUAGUCUCACAAUUGACACCUCCCAGGACACCACAGUUGAAUGGUGUGGCUGAGAGGCGUAAUCGAACCUUGUUAGAUAUGGUUCGUUCCAUGAUGAGUCGAGCUACGCUACCAAUCUCAUUCUGGGGGUAUGCCUUAGAGACUGCCGCCCAUAUUCUUAAUCUAGUCCCUACAAAGAAAGUUGCCAAAACUCCUCACGAGAUGUGGACUGGUAAAGUACCUAAACUAGACCACAUCAAGAUUUGGGGUUGCGAGGCUUUCGUGAGACGCGAGACUCAUGAUAAGCUCGAACCUCGAAGCGAGAGGUGUAUUUUCAUCGGCUACCCACAACAAUCCUUUGGUUACCUCUUCUACAGACCUGGUGAAAAUGUGGUCUUUUUAGCUAGGAGGGCUUUCUUAAGAGAGAGAAAGAGUUCAUAAGCCAAGGAAACAGUUGGAGGCAAGUUGAUCUUGAAGAAAUUCAAGAGUCAAGCGGUGAAGGAACUUCAAACCCUAGCACUCAACUUGAGGAGGAAACUCCUAUUGAGCCAAUUGACAAGUCUGUACCUCUGAGGCGUUCCACAAGGGUUAGGAAUGCUCCUGAGCAUUACUAUGGAUUCCAUAUUACUGCAGAAGGAGAUACACUUAUCAGUGAUGAGACACUGAUAGGUCUGGAUGAACCUAACAGUUACGCGGAAGCCAUGGCAGGCCCUGAGUCAGCCAAGUGGAAAGAGGCAAUGGACAGUGAAAUACAGUCCAUGUAUGACAAUCAAGUUUGGAACUUGGUUGAGAAUGUACCAGGUCGUAAGACAGUAGGGUGCAAAUGGGUCUUCAAGAAGAAGACCGACAUGGAUGGUAAAGUACACACUUAUAAGGCUAGACUGGUUGCAAAGGGCUUCUCUCAAAUUCCUGGAGUGGACUAUGAUGAGACCUUUUCUCCAGUAGCCAAGAUUAAGUCUAUUCGGGUUCUGUUAGCCAUAGCUGCAUUUCAUGACUAUGAAAUAUGGCAAAUGGAUGUCAAAACCGCUUUCCUUAAUGGAAAGUUGGCUGAAGAUGUUUACAUGAGUCAGCCAGAGGGUUUUGUCAGCAACGAGUACCCUAAUAGAGUGUGUAAGCUUGAGAAAUCCAUUUAUGGAUUGAAGCAAGCACCUCGCAGAUGGAAUCUUUGCUUUGAUGAAAAGGUCAAGGAAUUUGGCUUUUCUAGGAGUGAAGAUGAAUCUUGUGUGUAUGUCAAGGCUAGUGGGAGUAUAGUUAGCUUUUUGGUAUUGUAUGUGGAUGACAUACUACUCAUAGGAAACGACAUUCCAACCCUGCAGGAAGUAAAGUCCUGGCUUGGGAAGUGUUUCGCUAUGAAGGACCUUGGUGAAGCUGCCUAUAUUCUAGGGAUAAGGAUCUUGAGAGAUCGGAGUAAAAGACUAAUUGGACUUAGUCAGAGUACCUACUUGGAUAAGGUGCUGAAGAGAUUCAGCAUGCAGGAUUCCAAGAAAGGAGAGUUACCCAUCCAGAGUAACACCAGAUUGAGUAAGACACAAAGCCCUAGCACUGAGGCUGAGAUAGCAGAAAUGAGUCGAACACCUUACGCUUCGGCUGUAGGAUCGAUCAUGUAUGCUAUGACGUGUACUCGACCCGAUGUAGCUUUUGCCUUGAGCAUGGUUAGCAGGUAUCAGGCGAACCCUGGCAAGGCACACUGGACUGCGGUAAAGAAUAUCCUCAAGUACCUACGGAGGACUAAGGACUGGGUCCUUACCCUCGGUGGGAGUGAUGACUUGAGAGUUGUAGGGUAUAGUGAUGCUAGCUUCCAGACUGAUAGGGAUAAUUUCCGCUCUCAGUCGGGCUGGGUCUUUACCCUAAACGGAGGAGCAAUUUCUUGGAAGAGUUCCAAGCAAGAGACAGUGGCAGAUUCUACUUGUGAAUCAGAGUAUAUUGCAGCUAGCGAAGCAGCAAAGGAGGCGAUAUGGCUGAAGAACUUCAUUGGAGACCUUGGAGUUGUACCAGCUAUUAAAGAGCCAAUGGAAAUUUUCUGUGAUAGUGAAAGUGCUGUUGCCUUAGCCAAGGAACCAAGGGAUCAUGGGAGAUCCAGACACAUCGACAGAAAAUACCAUUUCAUUAGACAUCGGAUCGAAGAAGGACUCCUCGUGGCAAAGAGGGUAUCAUCGGAUGAGAACCCAGCAGAUCCCCUCACGAAGGGACUGAGUAGGGUUAAGCAUCUCCAGCAUGCUCGGAGCAUAGGGCUGAAGGAUGAUAUAAGUUUUAGUAGUUAGAUAACCCAGAAAUUUGUAAAGUGUAAUUGACAUUUGAUGAUGAAUAAAAGGUGUUUUAUUUAUGAGUAAAGUGUUGCUAUCUCUUGUCAAUCGUUUACUAUAUUUCUUUUGCAUGUUUUGACUUCCAGAAUAAUUUUGUUUGGUGUAACAUAUUAUUCAAACCUCCACAGUCGGUCAUAUGUCGGAAGUAGGUAUGAAUCAAGACUGUCAUGAUGGGUUGUAGAGGUCUAAGGUGUUGGACAAGGCUACAACAAUCAUGAGUGCUCAUAAGUUCUGAGCAUUGGACUCAACCCACGCUCACUGGAAUCACUUCAUGGAAUUCUAUCUCGAGUGAUCGUGAGACGGUAAUAUCAUAUAAGUCUUCAAACCUAGAGAUAUGAUUUGUUACUUACAAGUUGGUUAUGCAUUGACUGUACGAAACCGCAUUGGUAACUCGAUGUUAUAAAACGUACUUUUGUGUGUAAUUCAAUGAGUGGUAGAACAAACAUAUGAGUCGAAGUUUAUCUGUUCCUUCUUGGAUUAGAAGCUGAUAUCUGGGCCCCUCGAUGAUUUUGUUUUGACCCAUGUACCGGGCCCGGUCAGAACUAAGUUGAUGUGUUCAAUUAAGUUCUUUGUCAAACAAAUCGGAAAUCGAGAAACAAACUGCUGGACAAUAAGUAAGACAUUGUUCCAUGUAUUUGUCCGGCUGAUAUCUAGAACGGAGGAUUAGAUGAUCCCUUAUCUUAAAUGGCGUACCAUCAUCUUCUUAGUUCUGAGAGACCUUGAAAGAGCUACGAUUGCUGAUCGGUUCCUGAAGUCAUACUUGCAAUUAUAGUUAUUAGAAUUAUCCAAGUGGGAGACUGUUAGAUAAGGUGUCUAAGUCCAUAAUUAUUUCUGGUAUGUACUUGACCCGACCUAGCAUGGUCCAUUUGCGUUGCUUGGCAUCAUGCAUUUGGAUAGACUAAAUGAGAAUAACACUUGUGGUUUAUUAAUAUAUUAUAAGUUCUACUAUAUUAAUAGUAUUAUUUAAUUAGUAUUGAUCAAGAAUUAAUUUGGAAUUAAUUAAGUGACCAAAAGAAAACUAAUUAAAUAUAUGGGUUGAUUAUGUAAAUCAUUCAUAUCUUGUAUAGUGGGCUAAGAGGCUCCAUGGAUUAUCAAGUUGGGUUCUNCACCAUGCAAUUGGAUAGACUAAAUGAGAGUAAUAACACUUGGAGAUUAUUAAUAUAUUAUAAGUUCUAAUUUAUUAAUAAUAUUAUUUGAUUAGUUUGAUCAAGAAUUAAUUUAGAAUUAAUUAAGUGAUCAAAGGAUAACUAAUUAAAUAUAUGGGUUGAUUAUGUAAAUCAUUCAUAUCUUGUAUAGUGGGCUAAGAGGCUCCAUGGAUUAUCAAGUUGGGUUCCACCCAUAGGAUGCUCCAUGGAUGCUCCAUGGGAGUUACAAACCCAUGGGUCAUGGAAAUGAAGAGUCAUGACGCAUUAGGGUUUACAUGGUGUAACCGUAGAUGUGUCAACACUAUAUAAGAGUCCCAUUCUCCACAAAAUCACACACAUAUAAGAAACUAGAGGGCUUGGCCGAUUUUAAGAAGUGUGUAUUCUCUCAAAAGUCUUUCCAAGAGCAUUUGGUGUUGUGUGAAGCAUUUGAGGCAUCACACUUGGGGUGCUAGGCUCACAAGGUUUCAAGGAACAUAAGCAAGAACAAGGUAAGUUAUUCUAUCUUUCAUUCAAGUUAAAAUUGUUCCCCAAUGUAUGCUAGAUAGGAAUAUAACCUUGGAAAUUCAACUUUGCAUGAUAAUUAGACAAACAUAGAUCCAAGGUUAUUAGGGUUGCAUGUACACUUAGGAAGUGUUAGAAUGCUCAAAACCCGUCAGUCGUCACUGAGGUUGCUUCUUCCGCAACCACUGUCGUACUUGCUGUUUCCAGACCGCAUGGGGGUGAUUCGAUGUUGUACCGGGAGUUCAACAAUACAAAGUCUCUUAAGUUUGAUGGGGUCAACGACCUGAUUGUU
rnacentral:lncRNA from 1 species